CAUAUGUUGGCUAUUUUCAGCUUCAAACUCUUUCCUAAGUUGCAUGGGGAAUGCUCUAUCCGGUAACCAUGAAGUGAGAUUCCAGGUACCAAUGUCAAGGGUUUGGGUAUUGAAGACUUGGAGUGGAUUUGGGUUGGAAUUUAUAAUCGAGGUAAUCCUCUCCUGUUACUUCCCUUCGAGACUUGUGCAUUUAAUAUCCCUAUGACCUACUAAUGCUUUGGAAUUUAAUUUAAUGUUUACUUACAAUUAAAAAUGAGCAUCACCUGUUGUUACAAGUUAUGUUGAUUCUUUCAAAAUGUAACCAGAUGAAUAUUGUGCUGCUAAUUUAGUCGGGUCUUAAGCGGACAGGUUGUCUGACUGGCAGAGUUUUAUGUUCUUGCAUAAGGUAGUUUCUAGUACUUGGCUGGUUACUCUUGGUGGUUCACAGGUGAAGAAAUAAUGCUGUCAUAUUAUUUUUAUUGGGAAUGCAUUGUCUUUUCUUCAUGUGGCGUAACAUGCUAUUGCUCUGCCUUCUAGGAUUUAAACAUGGUUAUCCAUUGCUGAGUUGAGUCUGUUAGGUAUUAUUUAGUUUAUACUUUAUACCAUAAACUGAUGUUCAGAUAAAAACUGGAACUGAUGUUGAGUCUGUUAGGUAGGCAUAGUGAAUCCAUUGGUGGAUUAAUAUACCCCUCAGCAGCAACACUGGAAUUAAGAUAAAAGAACACAGUAGACUCAUAUUUCGGAUUACCAACUUGAUGAUGGAAUUUGUUUGCUAAGGAGAUUCUAUUUAUUAAAUGGAAGGGAUUCAAUUUACAUUGGACAUUUAGCGAAGGAUGUUGUAUCAUUAAAGCAUGAAGACAUUGGCGUGUGAGUUUUUACCUGGGGAGUGAUGAACAAGGAGUAGCACUCUGGCUAAUCAAGGACACAGGUAGGCAACUUUCUUUAGAGAGAAUUAAAACUUGAAAUUACAGGAUUAGACACUAAUGAAUGCAUGUCCCUCUAAAUGUGACGUGUUGAACUUUGAAACCCUGUGGUGGUUUAUUAAGACCUUAUGGGUACAAAAGCUUUCUUAGAC